GAUCCUGGCUCAGGAUGAACGCUAGCUACAGGCUUAACACAUGCAAGUCGAGGGGAAACGACAUCGAGAGCUUGCUUUUGAUGGGCGUCGACCGGCGCACGGGUGAGUAACGCGUAUCCAACCUGCCCACCACUUGGGGAUAACCUUGCGAAAGUAAGACUAAUACCCAAUGACAUCCCACGAAGACAUCUGAAUGGGAUUAAAGAUUUAUCGGUGAUGGAUGGGGAUGCGU
rnacentral:rRNA from 1 species